rnacentral:rRNA from 1 species
CUUUUUUUGACACAUUCUAGAGCAAAGUGAACUUCCAAAUUUGGCACUUGAGUACCCAGUAGUUAACUGCACAACACAGCACCGCACACUGCAUAACCAUUUUUUUUUCAAAACACAAAAUAAAAAUGAACUGCAUUAAAACUUCACUGCAAAAUAUUUUUCAAUAUAGCUCCUGCAGUUAAACAUCCAGGAGCUGGAAUAGCGAGAUGAUAUCGGGAAAGAAGAGAACCACCCACGCGCAAGUGUGCCGUGCCACACCCUGACUCCCGACGCGGCAGAGCCUGGCCUCGCCUCGGACAAAGCAACAGGAGAAGGUGUGGUGCAGCCAGUGCCAUGGAUAUCACAGUAAACUGCAAAACAAAAUCCCAUGAGCUUCAAAAAAAAAUCAAAAUGAACUGCAAGCAGUGGGGUACAAUGCGGAUGAGGGAGGUGCUGGAGCCAUGGCACGACGAUGGGCGAGAUCUUGUGUUGGGGAGGCCAGCCACCAGAGAGGAGGGAGGAAGCAGUGGGAGGAAGGCCCGCGCUCGCCGGUGGUGGAGUCUUCGGGUGUUGGGGCAGGCCCGAGGGAAGAAGGGGAAUGGGAUCCGGUGGUGGAAGUUCGGUACAGCGCGGAUCACGCCGGAUCCGGAGCAGUCCACGCAGAGAGAGGUUGAGGACCAUGGGGAGGGGCGGGCCAUGCAGCGGGGACCAGCGAGCUCGGAUCCGGCCGCCGUGGAGGCGGAUUUGACCCAGGGUGGCGGCGAGGGCAGGUACACGCGGGGCGGCGCUGGGUCGCUCCCCUGGUGACGCAUGGCUGGGUGCGCGGCGGCGCCUGGGAGAAGGCCGCGGGGCGGGUAGAGGAAGGCAGCACUGGGGGGAGGAAGGCUGCGCCGAUGAGGAGGCCGCGUCGGGCGGGUGGGCGCAGGGUUGGUGCGCCGGAGGAGGAAGGAGGUGGGGAUUGGUGGGAGAGGUUUACGGCGGGGCAGAAGGUGGAUCAAGGGGAGGGGAAUCGUGGUAGAUGAGGGUGGGGUGCGCGAGAGGAGGAGGCAGGUGGGGUUUGGUGGGAAG